GGCUUUGUUCUGUCUUAAACAAUUACGGAACGGCUGCUCAAGAGUGCCCUUCUGACUUGGAUGACGAUGAAGUCACGCGUAGUCAGUUUUACAUCUUCUGGGAUCGUGCUGCUCAGUGCACCGUUUUGCUGAAAUAUAAUAUCAGGUGGCGCAACCCACCGCCCUGUUUCAUAGGGGACGCUCAUAACAUCCAUCCAUCCAGAAUAUCCUUAUAAAAGAAAGGUCUGCAAAUGACAGUGUUGCUGUGGAUUGUAGUUGGAAGCCUCUCCCUCGUUUGGGCAUCGAACGCAACGACGGAAGUGCAAAGGAUGACAGCAACUCGACUACCAACGGGGGGCAGAGCCAAGGAAGACGCUUGGAAACCAUGCAGUAAUUACUCACAGCCGUGCAUAAGCGACAAGGACUGCUGCGACGAGAGGACGUGCUACGAGUACAAGUGCUCCUUCCGGAGGCUGGGGUGGACAAAGAAGGCGGGGUAACCACCGCGGCCAACUAGCAGGAGGGGGCUCCCGCUGCUCCGUAAACAAUUGGGGAAGGCCUGCCCAGUUCACCGGAUGUGGCUUGCAAUCUAAUCGACGCCGUGCACCGCUGCUCUUUCUUCCUGCCCGACAGUUACAUGCUACAGCGUGUGUGUCUGAAUAAAACAUUCCGAAGUACCGGC